rnacentral:rRNA from 1 species
ACGGUUACCUUGUUACGACUUAGCCCCAGUCACCAGUUUCGCCCUAGGCCGGUCCUCGCGGUCCCGGACUUCAGGCGCCCCCGGCUCCCAUGGCUUGACGGGCGGUGUGUACAAGGCCCGGGAACGUAUUCACCGCGCCAUGGCUGAUGCGCGAUUACUAGCGAAUCCAACUUCGUGGAGUCGGGUUGCAGACUCCAGUCCGAACUGGGACAGGUUUUCGAGAUCGGCAUCCGGUCGCCCGGUAGCACCCCUCUGUACCUGCCAUUGUAACACGUGUGUCGCCCCGGACGUAAGGGCCGUGCUGAUUUGACGUCAUCCCCCCCUUCCUCGCACCUUGCGGUGGCAGUCCCUCCAGAGUCCCCAGCUUAACCUGAUGGCAACUGAAGGCAAGGGUUGCGCUCGUUAUGGCACUUAAGCCGACACUUCACAGCACGAGCUGACGACAACCAUGCAGCACCUCGACAACUGUCCGAAGACUAUCCCAUCUCUGGAAUAUUCAGCUGCCGUUCGAGCCCGGGUAAGGUUCCUCGCGUAUCAUCGAAUUAAAACACAUGUUCCUCCGCUUGUGCGGGCCCCCGUCAAUUCCUUUG